rnacentral:rRNA from 1 species
GAUGAACGCUGGCGGCGUGCUUAACACAUGCAAGUCGAACGAAGCAUUUAGAACGGAUUAUUUCGGUAUGAAGUUCUUUAUGACCGAGUGGCGGACGGGUGAGUAACGCGUGGGUAACCUGCCUUGUACUGGGGGAUAGCAGCUGGAAACGGCUGGUAAUACCGCAUAAGCGCACAAUGUUGCAUGACAUGGUGUGAAAAACUCAGGUGGUAUAAGAUGGACCCGCGUCUGAUUAGCUAGUUGGUGAGAUAACAGCCCACGAAGGCGACGAUCAGUAGCCGACCUGGGAGGGUGACCGGCCACAGUGGGACUGAGACACGGCCCAGACUCCUACGGGAGGCAGCAGUGGGGAAUAUUGCACAAUGGAGGAAACUCUGAUGCAGCGACGCCGCGUGAGUGAAGAAGUAAUUCGUUAUGUAAAGCUCUAUCAGCAGGGAAGAUAGUGACGGUACCUGACUAAGAAGCUCCGGCUAAAUACGUGCCAGCAGCCGCCGUAA